GCCUAAUGACAGCUCAGGUUCUUUCCCCGACGGCAGUAAACCUAAAGACGGAGAAUUCAUUUGUGGUUCACUAAGACGCAGACUCAACUCGCGCAGAGGACGAAAGGGAGCGGCGCCCUCAGUUGCGUCGCGGAGCGUCUGCAUACCGUGGCGAGGAUUCUCUGGCCAGCCUGACCAACCUCGAGCUGAUCGCCAGGCAGUGGAGGACGUCCGCAAUGCUCCGGAGAAUUUGGAGGAGCUCUGAAAGGGCUUCAUCCAGAAAGACCAUUCACCUGGACCACCCUGUGACAAGAGACUAGCGGCUGCGUUUGGAAUAAACUGUUUGUUUCGAAACA